rnacentral:rRNA from 1 species
AUACGGAGGGUGCAAGCGUUACUCGGAAUCACUGGGCGUAAAGCGCGCGCAGGCGGCUUGAUAAGUUGGAUGUGAAAGCCUACGGCUCAACCGUAGAACUGCAUCCAAAACUGUCAAGCUAGAGUCUGAGAGGGGAAGAUGGAAUUAGUUGUGUAGGGGUAAAAUCCGUAGAGAUAACUAGGAAUACCAAAAGCGAAGGCAAUCUUCUGGAACACUACUGACGCUGAGGCGCGAAGGCGUGGGGAGCAAACAGAAUUAGAAACCCCAGUAGUCC